AAAUACACCUUUUGCUGUUUUUUUGUUUCGUUAGAUAUUACUACUCAGUAUUAUACUGUUAUUGUGAGCGAAGUUACUUGCGUGCGAAUCGAAUUCAAAACAUGUAGCCUAUUAACUUUAGCACGUAUCUUUGACUUUCAGCUCACUGGGAUACCAAACGAUGCCACCAAGACCGUGGGGCAGCUGCUAGCACAAGCUAGCUGUACCUGACAACUGAGAGCCAAGCAGCUACAGUACAGGACUGACUUGUGAAGACAUGAGCUCGUUUAACAAGCCAAGAGUCUGAGGAGAAACAAAAGGACUAAAUUUCCUGUAUAAAUGGCGCUUAAACUCAGCAGGUGGCCUGGGGGAGAGAUUCGCAGGGAUGUCCAUAUUACUCGAAAUCGAGUGGUCAAGAAUCACUGAAUGCUGCUCAGAGGGAUGGAGGUGAGGGUGGAGUACAGGGAGCUGUUGGCCGUGGACAGAGGCUGGAUGAGGGACAGGAACCGUGACCGGGUCUCCUGGUGUCCCAGGAGAGAGACACACAUCGCAAAGAAACCCUCUGGAUCCUCUCGACCCACCAGCACUUCCCUCAACAUCUUUCUCACCAAGGAUUUGCUGUCAUCGGCACCAACCGCUGAAGGAGACAUCUUCAAGUGAAAGGGCCUCCUGACUGCGGCAUUGUCUAGAACAGAGGGGGCACUCUGUCGCCGCCCUCAUGGCAUGGUACUGCCAGUGCAGCUGGAGCUUCUCCUGAGUGGGGAACGCCAGACUGCACCUGCUGCAACGGAACCGGACUUGGACAAAUACAGCUGGACAUGGACAAAUACUGUUUUUAACGCAACUGCUUUGAAUGAGGACCCAGUGGACCGCAUACAGCCUACUCCAGUAUCAAGGUUAAGGCUGCAGGUCUGACUGGCGGAUGUUGGUUUGGCGUUUCAUUUUCUCAGACUGGAAAACAAACCCAAAAAAUUUAAGCCUCAAUUCACGUGUCCAUUCCUGUGUUUGUCAUAGCAGAGGACCUUUAGGGUUUUUUUCCGCUGCUCCGGCCGUCCUAUCCUCGCCACUCGGCUCUAUUGUUAUGAUAAUACGAUUGUGAAUUUCACGCUGGAUGUGCAAUCUGUCGAUCGUCCAUAUUUUAGAAGGUGAAACUGCUUUUAUUUGUAGGAUCAAAUACCAUUUUUAUCUGUCUUUGAUGUCAAAGCUGACCUGCUCCUCAUUUAAGAAAUGUAUAAAUACAAUUUUAGACAGGUAUUAAAGGCUACAGGGUUGCAGCAAAAGCUCCCUCUGGAAACAAUUAUAGAAAUGUUAUAGUAGUUAACACAGGAGGUAAAAAAAGAAAAAAGGCAAAGCAAUAACUGCAAUAAGGUUACUAUCAGCUCACUGUUGCGUGAAACAACAGCACUACAAGGCCACAUCGGAAUAGCAGGCUACAUGAAUAUUAAUGAUAUUUCGUUAUGUGGGUUUUGGGUGCACUGACGUUUUGAUUUUUGGUUUGUCUUGGUUUGGUUUUGACUGUUCUCCUGCAUUUGUGUAUCUAUAAAUAUGUAAAGAAUUUUGCUUUGGCCAAUUAAUUAAGUGCCAAAUGACUUGGCUUGACCUAUACGUUUGAAGUACAUCUAAUAAUUAUUUUACGAUUUGAAAACGUUUAAAGUGAUUGUCUGCCUAGCACAUGCCACCAAUGCAAAGACUGCAGGUUAUCACAAACAUAAAUCAGAGACUGUUCAGUUAAGUCUUUAUGUCCAGACAUGGAUAUUUUCUGCUGUUGUUAUGGCUGUAGUUAAGAGCGGUGACUGUUUUAUGUCAUUUUAUGAGCAAAAGACAAUGACAGUGAAGGGUGAUAUAAUUUCAACAUCAGUCCAUAUCGCAUUGUAUUUGUGUCUGUGUCUGUGUGUGUGUGUGUGUGUGUGUUCAUGUAUGCCUGCGCGUGCGUUCGUGCUUUUAUAUGAUUAAAUAAAAUGAAAAAUGUAAAUGUUAAAUGUUAAUUGAAGCUAAAGCAAAUUGGGAUCUGGUGUUUAUCUGUUUAUCCUAACAUGCACAUAGGUUGUGAACCUCUAAUUUUAUAUUUAUAGCAUAUCACAUUUUUGCAUCUUUUGUGCGUGUAAAAAGAUUCACCUGUAAACAGAUGUGAUGUUAGAGAAAUAACAUUUUAAAAAAAAAGAAAAAGAUUUGGCUCUGAUAAUUUUGCUUUGAUUUUUUUUUUGAUAAAUGUAUGCAGCCUAUUUGAAUUUCAUCAUGAACAUAUUAUCCUAAAGUUUACACUACAGUGCCACAACACAUUAAUAAAAUGUCUUCAAAUGAUCUUUUAUGUUAUUUGCAUCACUGGUUAUUGGUGUAAAUUUAUUUAUUAAUUUAUUUAUUCAUUUACAUUAGGAAUAUCAACUGCAUUUUAUUGGCCCUAUUUAAAACAAUAAAAAGGCAGAUGAAUACACACACAUUUGAUGUUUACGUUUGUGUGCGUGCAGUAUUUCAUAUACAGUGUGCUUUUGGCUCACUAGUUAAUAUACACAAAUGCACAGUCUUCUGAAAUACAAUCUGCACAUAAGCCACAUUUUUUUCCAGAAUAAAACAGAAUAAUUUUCCUGAUUGGUGUAAAUGUACGCCUUGAGAAAGUUCAGCACAGACAUGAGAGGAGACACCCUCGCAGACUGGCACUAUGAGUUCAUUUCCGUGGAGAUAAAUAUAGAAUUGUAAUAUUUUACCAAUAUUAAAGCUCUCAUGUGAAUGCACAUUUACAUUUACAAUUUACACACAUGCACACUGUCUCUCGCACACACACUUAAACAUGCACAGGCCACACUGUAAAAAGCACCAUCCUUUCCGUGCCCUCAGGUGUAUGCCAGGGGUUGUUGUUUUCGCUGUAAUAUAUAGUUAGCCCUUCCACCAAUUUACCCUGUCAGUGCUAAUGGGGCAAUUAACCACUGUAAUACCCCCCAGGCAGAGAAAGAGCCAAAAGCUCCCCAACUCCAAACUUGUCUUUAUGACAUUUAUAUGACAAAAUGUGGGGGAAGCUGGGGACCCAUCUGACACCUUGGAGGGUCCUUAAUGUCACUCCCUCCCUUGCCCCCGCCCCUUUCUGCCCCAGGGUAUGGCACUGAGGAGGAAGUGUAAUACAUCAUGAACUGGAGAGGCUCGGGGUCUCGUCCAGGAGGGAGGAAAAAAAACUUUGUAGUGCAUCCAAAGAUUCAAAUGGGGCAACUCUGACUUAUACACCGUGUGUCCAGUUCUUGGUGAUUAUAAAUGUGAACUGGCCUAACGUACACACACACACAAACACACUUUAAGCCAACACACUCCAACUUGACCUCUCCCUUCAUUUAAGCCUUUUUGGUGUCUAUAAGUCCCUCCAUCUUUGUCUGCGCUCACAUUCCCCCCGUCCUUCUUACAUCCCCAAGGAGGCAAUAACCUCCCUGGCAAGUGCUUCCCCUUGAGCCGUUGUCAUAGUAACUUGUGGGCUGGUCGACAUGACAACCCCACCAUGGUCCAGAGAUAGAUGAUAGGCCAGAAAUGGGGAGGGUGAAGGCACAUGGGGGAUUUGCACCCCCUUUAAUUUGGUUUGCCUGAUUCUGAUUCACAAUGUUAUUUUUUUUUCUCCCC